rnacentral:rRNA from 1 species
AGUGAACGCUGGCGGUAGGCCUAACACAUGCAAGUCGAACGGCAGCGCAGUAAGAGCUUGCUCUUACGGGUGGCGAGUGGCGGACGGGUGAGGAAUACAUCGGAAUCUACUUUUUCGUGGGGGAUAACGUAGGGAAACUUACGCUAAUACCGCAUACGACCUACGGGUGAAAGCAGGGGAUCUUCGGACCUUGCGCGAUUGAAUGGGCCGAUGUCGGAUUAGCUAGUUGGCGGGGUAAAGGCCCACCAAGGCGACGAUCCGUAGCUGGUCUGAGAGGAUGAUCAGCCACACUGGAACUGAGACACGGUCCAGACUCCUACGGGAGGCAGCAGUGGGGAAUAUUGGACAAUGGGCGCAAGCCUGAUCCAGCCAUACCGCGUGGGUGAAGAAGGCCUUCGGGUUGUAAAGCCCUUUUGUUGGGAAAGAAAAGCAGCAGGUUAAUACCCCGCUGUUCUGACGGUACCCAAAGAAUAAGCACCGGCUAACUUCGUG